rnacentral:rRNA from 1 species
UACAGAGGGUGCGAGCGUUAAUCGGAAUUACUGGGCGUAAAGCGCGCGUAGGCGGCUUGCAAGUCGGGUGUGAAUCCCCAGGCUUAACCUGGGAACUGCAUUCGAGACUGCAUUGCUAGAGUAUGGGAGAGGGAAGUGGAAUUCCGGUGUAGCGGUGAAAUGCGUAGAUAUCGGAAGGAACAUCAGUGGCGAAAGCGACUUCCUGGACCAAUACUGACGCUCAUGUGCGAAAGCGUGGGAGCAAACAGG